CACCAAUACAGGCCAGGCCCUGGUGUGCCCUUUCAGGGCCUGUCCCCUGCAGUUCUGCAGAGGCCUUCACGCCCCCAUGUGAGGGCAACCAGUCGAGCUUCCCAAUGUUACAGGUGAGGGAACUCAGCCCCGAGAGGGAAGGAACCAGGGUCACGGCAGGCUCCAGAGAGCCAGGAGUCAGGCCUCCAAGCCUGUGUUUUCCCUACCAUCUCCCUCCCCCGGAAUGUCCUCCCUGUUCUUCUCAUGGCUGGCUCCUCCUCAUCUCGGCCUCAAAGUCACCCCCCAGAGGCCUUCCCCACCCUCCCUUGCACCCCUGAUGCUGUCUCAGCCCCUGGUCUCGCCUUCAGAGCACACUGCAUCACUGGUAAUCAUUACAUCAAUUUGCGUUGUGCGUCCUCUCCCCAUCUCCCUGUAAGUCUCGUGAGGAUAGGACUGAUCGCACCAACUGGAUCCCUGCAGGCUCCUUGACUCGCACCGAGCACAGAGGAGGCGCCCAGCCAGCGCUCUUUGGAUCAAGGGUUCCUCCGUGAGCAGCAGGUGCCACGCUCGCCAGCAGACUGGGCAGCAGCAAACAUCCCCACGGCCCUGGAUCUCGCCCCCUAAACCUCUCUCGUGCCCCUUCCCUGCCACCCAGGGUCUCAGCUGCCAUGACCCUCAGAGGAGGCUGAGCCCCUGCUCAGUGGCUGGGGAGAAAGCUGGGUCCGGGGGCUGCAGGACAGGAGGAGGGGGCGGGCCUCUGAGCUGGCAGACAAAGGGCAUGUGUUCUCAUCCAGUGCACUUCCUGGGUUUCCAUGGCAGGAAGCUUGGCACCUGCCAAGGUGACACCGACACCCGGGCUGGUGCGGGAGAUACUUGGCCGGGACGCUCCUCUUUACCUGGGAGCAGUGGCAGAGGUGGGACUAGUGGCCAGGGGUGCUGCAUGGCAGGUAAGUAGUGGCAGCUGGACCCCCGCACCUGGACCUUGCCCCUUCCCAAGACCGUCUUAGCCCAGAACAGAUGUGGGGAGGCCUGGGUCCUAGAUGGAGUCAGCGUGACCUUGGACAAGGCCCCAAAUCAACCCUUCGGUGACUCAUUGUCCCCCCUCAGGGGGACUUGGAGGAUAUCACUGGAGGCUGACCCGAGAGGUAGGCAGCCAUGGCCCCCACUUUACAGACGAAAAAACUGAGGCCCGGGAAGGUAGAGUGGCCGCCAGGGGUCAGACGGUUAGCGAUCGGCCGUGGAGCUCAGGUCCACCUGACUCAGGACCCUGGGAGAUCCCAGGCCAAACUGAGAUGGAAGCACCCCUCCCCGCGACAGGGCGGGUGAGGCCACCAACCCAG
rnacentral:lncRNA from 1 species